CAACAAGGCAGCGGCUACACAUGCAGUCGAGCGGUAGCACAGAGAGCUUGCUCUCGGGUGACGAGCGGCGGACGGGUGAGUAAUGUCUGGGAAACUGCCUGAUGGAGGGGGAUAACUACUGGAAACGGUAGCUAAUACCGCAUAACGUCGCAAGACCAAAGUGGGGGACCUUCGGGCCUCAUGCCAUCAGAUGUGCCCAGAUGGGAUUAGCUAGUAGGUGGGGUAACGGCUCACCUAGGCGACGAUCCCUAGCUGGUCUGAGAGGAUGACCAGCCACACUGGAACUGAGACACGGUCCAGACUCCUACGGGAGGCAGCAGUGGGGAAUAUUGCACAAUGGGCGCAAGCCUGAUGCAGCCAUGCCGCGUGUAUGAAGAAGGCCUUCGGGUUGUAAAGUACUUUCAGCGGGGAGGAAGGCGAUAAGGUUAAUAACCUUGUCGAUUGACGUUACCCGCAGAAGAAGCACCGGCUAACUCCGUGCCAGCAGCCGCGGUAAUACGGAGGGUGCAAGCGUUAAUCGGAAUUACUGGGCGUAAAGCGCACGCAGGCGGUCUGUCAAGUCGGAUGUGAAAUCCCCGGGCUCAACCUGGGAACUGCAUUCGAAACUGGCAGGCUAGAGUCUUGUAGAGGGGGGUAGAAUUCCAGGUGUAGCGGUGAAAUGCGUAGAGAUCUGGAGGAAUACCGGUGGCGAAGGCGGCCCCCUGGACAAAGACUGACGCUCAGGUGCGAAAGCGUGGGGAGCAAACAGGAUUAGAUACCCUGGUAGUCCACGCCGUAAACGAUGUCGAUUUGGAGGUUGUGCCCUUGAGGCGUGGCUUCCGGAGCUAACGCGUUAAAUCGACCGCCUGGGGAGUACGGCCGCAAGGUUAAAACUCAAAUGAAUUGACGGGGGCCCGCACAAGCGGUGGAGCAUGUGGUUUAAUUCGAUGCAACGCGAAGAACCUUACCUGGUCUUGACAUCCACAGAACUUGGCCAGAGAUGCCUUGGGUGCCUUCGGGAACUGUGAGACAGUGCUGCAUGGCUGUCGUCAGCUCGUGUUGGUGAAAUGUUGGGUUAAGUCCCGCAACGAGCGCAACCCUUAUCCUUUGUUGCCAGCGGUUAGGCGGGCACUCAAGAGACUGCAGUGAUAAACUGGAGGAAUGGUGGGGGAUGACGUCAGUCAUCAUGGGCCUUACGACCAGG
rnacentral:rRNA from 1 species